CGUAGGGGGCUAGCGUUGUCCGGAUUUAUUGGGCGUAAAGAGCGUGUAGGCGGCCAGGUAGGUCCGGUGUGAAAACUCGAGGCUUAACCUCGUGAUGUCAUCGGAAACCAUCUGGCUAGAGUCCGGAAGAGGAGAGUGGAAUUCCUGGUGUAGCGGUGAAAUGCGCAGAUAUCAGGAAGAACACCAAUGGCGAAAGCAGCUCUCUGGGACGGUACUGACGCUGAGACGCGAAAGCGUGGGGAGCGAACAGGAUUAGAUACCCUGGUAGUCCACGCCGUAAACGAUGGGCGCUAGGUGUGGGCGGUGUCGACUCCGUCCGUGCCGAAGCUAACGCAUUAAGCGCCCCGCCUGGGGAGUACGGCCGCAAGGCUA
rnacentral:rRNA from 1 species